rnacentral:misc_RNA from 1 species
UUGAAAUUAAUUUUUAUAGAUUAAAUAGUAAAUUUGCAACCUAAUUACAUAGUAAGUAAGUUUACAACCUAAACUAAUGAUAAAGCUUUCAAUCCUAGCCUUAGCAUCAAAGUCAAGAUAAUCAAGAAUCUCUUAGACACUCAUUUUGGUAGGAAUAAGGUUAGUUAUUUACGUACUAUCUUUUUAGUUAUUUUGGUUUUAAAUUGAUUAAUACUAAUG